rnacentral:lncRNA from 1 species
CCCGGUUCAAGGGAUUCUCCUGCCUCAGCCUCCUGAGUAGCUGGGACUACAGGUGCACACCACCGUGCCCAGCUAAUUUUUGUAUUUUUUGUAGAGACGGAGUUUCACCAUGUUGGCCAGGAUGGUCUUGAUCUCUUGACCUCAUGAUCUGCCUGCCUCAAGCUCCCAAAGUGCUGGGAUUACAGGCGUGAGCCACCACGCCCAGCCUGAAAUGUGUGUCUUAAAUAAUAAGACUUGAAAGUAGACUGAUCCAUGGGCUGUGGAAUGGCUGUUAUGUUAUCAGGCAUGAAAACAACAUUCAUCUCCUUGUCUGUCUCUGUCAGAGCUCUUGGGUAACCAGGACAUUGUCACUGAACAGUAAUAUUUUGAAAGAACUCUUUUUUUUGAGCAGUAGGUCUCAGCAGUGGGCUUUAGUAUUCAGUAAACUAUGCUGGAAACCAGAUGCACUGUCAUCCAGGUUUUAUUUGUUCCAUUUAUAAAGCAUAAGCAGAGUUAACUUAGCAUAGUUCUUAAGGGCUCUAGAAGUUUGGGAAUGAUAAGUGAGCAGUGGCUUUAACUAAAAGCCACCAGCUGCAUUAGUCCCUAACAAGGGAGUCAGUCUGUCCUUUGAAGCUUUGAAGCCAGGCAUUGACUUCUCUUCUGUAGCUAUGAAAGUCCUGGAUAACAUCUUCUUCUAAUAGUAGGCUGUUUUGUCUACACUGAAGAUGUGUUAUUCAGUGUAGGCACCUUCAUCAGUGAUCUUAGCUAGAUCUUCUGGAUAAUUUGCUGCAGCUUCUACAUCAGCACGUGCUGCUUCACCUUGUACUUCUGUGUUACGGUAGAUGGCUUCUUUCCUUAACCAUGAAGUAGCCUCUGCUAGCUUCCAACUUUUCUUCUGCAGCUUCUUCACUUGUCUCAGACUUAACUCUAGAAUUAAAGAGAGUUAAGAGUUAUAGUUAAAGAGAGUUAGGGCUUUGCUCUGGAUUAGGCUUUGGCUUAGGGGAAUGUUGUGGCUAGUUUGAUCUUCUUUACGGACCACUAAAACUUUCUGCAUAUCAGCAAUAAGGCUAUUCUGCUUUCUUCUUAUUCCUGUGUUCACUGGAGUAGCACUUCUAAUUACCUUCAAGAAACGUUGCUUUGCAUUGGCAACUAAGCCUAAGUGGUGCAAGAGGCCUAGCUUUUGGCUGAUCUCAGCUUUUGACAUGCCUUCCUCACUAAGCUUAAUCAUUUCUAGUUUUUGAUUUCCAGUGAGAGACGUGUGGAUCUUUGCUCUACUUGAACACUGCAGAAGUCACUGGAAGGUUAUUCAUUGGCCUAAUUUCAAUACUGUUUUGUCUCAGGGAAUAGAGAGACCCAAGGAAAGGGAGAGAGAUGGGGGAACAGCCCGUUGGUUGAGCCGUCAGAAUACAUGCAUUUAUUGGUUAAGUUUGCCAUCCUAUGUGGGCGUGGUUCAUGGUGCCCCAAAAUAAUUACAGUAGUAACAACAAAGAUUAAUGAUCACAGGUUACCAUAAGAGAUACAAUAAUGAAAAGGUUUGAAAUAUUGUGAAAAUUACCAAAAUAUGGCACAGAGACAUGAAGUAAGCACAUACUGUUGGAAAAAUGGUGCCAAUAGACUUGCUUGAUGCAGGGUUACCAUUAAUUUGUAAAAAUGUAGUAUCUGUGAAGUACAAUAAAGGGAAGCACGACAAAAUGAGGUAUGCCUGUAUGCCCUAUUUUUAGCUUACGUAGACAGUGAAGAUGGUAGUUCUUAAGUUUUAAGUUACUGUGCUAAUUACAUUUUUGUCACUGUUUGGAUCUAUUUUCCUAAAGGAUUACACAAAUAUUUUAAAGCUUUUAUGCGUGCAUUUAAAUGUGUGUGUCCUCACCAACAGCUUCAUGCAGACAGUGAAACCCCAAGUGGAAGAAGAAGAGAGGUGCCUGGGUGCGGUGUCUUAUGCCUGUAAUCCUAGCACUUUGGGAGGCCGAGGCGGG